rnacentral:lncRNA from 1 species
GUUUUUAUCUCUCUCUCCUCCAAUUAUUCUAAGAAGGAGAAAAGUUUUAGGCAAAGAUAAAUGCAAAUUAUCCAGUAAAUUCAAAUAUAUUACUUCCCAGAUCUCCUGUCUGGGUAAAUCUGGGUAAAUCACAACUAUAGAUAAUAAGAUAAUUAAAAACUAGUAAAUAUAAAUGUGAGGUGCCUUCUACCAUUAAGCUCAGGAAAUGUAUCUGAUUAUGAAACACUGUGUAUUUUGAAAUGUCAUAUCAAUUAUAAGAGACACUUUUACAGAUCUCCCUAAGAAAUAUUUACAUAGAACUAUAUUUUUAUACACUAUGUAAAAUAAUGAAGUGUAUAUUUAAUUAAAACUGUAAAUAAGACCAAAGGUAUGCUAUAAGCGUGAAAUAUGCAAGCAUAAAAAAUCUUAGCAAAAUUUUAAAUCAAUUUCACUUUGAAUUAUAUUGG